rnacentral:rRNA from 1 species
AUACGGAGGAUCCGAGCGUUAUCCGGAUUUAUUGGGUUUAAAGGGAGCGUAGAUGGGUUGUUAAGUCAGUUGUGAAAGUUUGCGGCUCAACCGUAAAAUUGCAAUUGAUACUGGCAGCCUUGAGUACAGUUGAGGUAGGCGGAAUUCGUGGUGUAGCGGUGAAAUGCUUAGAUAUCACGAAGAACACCGAUUGCGUAGGCAGCUGACCAGACCGCAAAUGACGCUCAUGCACGAAAGUGCGGGGAUCGAACAGGAUUAGAUACCCUGGUAGUCCGCACAGUAAACGAUGAAUACUUGUUUUCGGCGAUAUAAUGUCGGAGGCAAAGCGAAAGCGAUAAGUAUUCCACCUGGGGAGUACGCCGGCAACGGUGAAACUCAAAGGAAUUGACGGGG